ACUGCGGUUCUGAGCGCGCUGUCCGCGCCCACCUGACAGCUGCUCGCGACGUGUUGUUAGCC
rnacentral:sRNA from 1 species